rnacentral:rRNA from 1 species
GGCGUAAAGCGUGGUUAAGGUUAAUAUAAACUAGAGCCGAACACCAUCAAAGCUGUUAUACGCACCCGAUAGUAUGAAGAUCCACCACGAAGGUGGCUCUAACCACACCCCUGAAUCCACGAAAGCUAUAAAACAAACUGGGAUUAGAUACCCCACUAUGUAUAGCCUUAAACCUUGAUAGAAUUACACAACCCCUAUCCGCCCGGGAACUACGAGCACCAGCUUAAAACCCAAAGGACUUGGCGGUGCUUUAGACCCCCCUAGAGGAGCCUGUCCUAGAACCGAUAACCCCCGUUCAACCUCACCACCCCUUGUUAAAACCGCCUAUAUACCGCCGUCGUCAGCUUACCCUGUGAAGGAAAUACAGUAAGCAAAAUUGGUAUAACCCAAAACGUCAGGUCGAGGUGUAGCGUAUGAGGUGGGAAGAGAUGGGCUACAUUCUCUACCACAGAGUAUACGAACGAUGUACUGAAAUAUACACCCAAAGGAGGAUUUAGCAGUAAGUAAAAAAUAGAGCGUUUUACUGAAA